CCUGCCCCUAGGGGUGUUGCAGGUGUGGCUGCUGUGUCACAGGUGAGUGGUAGGUGACAGAGGAAAGACUAUAUCUAUGAUCAAUGUUCCAACCUUUGAACAUUUGAAAGAUUGAUUAGUAGCCUAACAUC
ensembl:snoRNA LOC120102680 small nucleolar RNA SNORA17